rnacentral:rRNA from 1 species
GACGAACGCUGGCGGCGUGCUUAACACAUGCAAGUCGAACGAGUGGCGAACGGGUGAGUAACACGUGGGUGAUCUGCCUUGCACUUCGGGAUAAGCUUGGGAAACUGGGUCUAAUACCGGAUAGUGCAAGAUGAGCUCGCGGCCUAUCAGCUUGUUGGUGGGGUAAUUGCUACCAAGGCGCGACGGGUAGCCGGCCUGAGAGGGUGUACGGCCACAUUGGAACGGAGAAACGGUCCAAACGCCUACGGGAGGAAGCAGUGAGGAAUAGUGGUCAAUGGACGAAAGUCUGAACCAGCCAAGUAGCGUGCAGGAUGACGGCCUAUGGGUUGUAAACUGCUUUUAUAUGGUAAGAGGUACCAUAUGAAUAAGGACCGGCUAAUUCCGUGCCAGCAGCCGCGGUAAUUC